rnacentral:tRNA from 1 species
GGAGAGAUGGCCGAGGUGGUUUAAGGCAUCAGUCUCGAAAACUGGUAUAUAGUUAUACUGUAUCGAGGGUUCGAAUCCCUCUCUCUCCG